ACGAAUUUACGCGUCCCUCUCCCUCAGACCCUCCCUUCCUUCCGUCGUUCUCUGCGUCUCCCUUUCCCUCGCAGCUUGCGGAACACCUUUCGCCUCUUCCUCUCCCUCUGCAACCGCCGACAUCUCCUUCUUCGUUUGAUCUCUCUGCCAUCUCCUUCUUUGUCUGAUCUCUACGGCAUCUCCUUCAUCAUCUGAUUUAUCCGUCUCAAAUCUGUCUUCUCCUGCAUCUUCUUCUUGCGUCUCCUCCUCCGUUUCAAAUCCGAGACACAUCUAUUUGUCCAAAAUCGAGACGCAUCUCAAAUUUCAAUCCCUUCGAUCUAUCUUACUCUCAGUUUGUCUAUCUUCAACCGACAUCAACUGCCUCUCAAAUUUCUUUGAUUUUGCACUGUUUAAGCCAAGGUAAUUUCUUAUGAUUUUCUUGCAUCUCGAACAAACUAAGAGAAAAUAAAUCUUUAUUCACACAUUUGCAUCAGUACUUAACAAUGUCUGCAUGAAUUCUUAAAUAUCCUCUUUAUUUAUCUUCACAAUUUCACAUGCUUUCGUAUCUGUAUAAUGGACACAAUAUUUUUAGGUUGACAGACAUAUUUAUUUUUUCACAAUUUCACCAUAGUAUGUUGACAGUACAUAUUUAUUUUUUGAGUUUGUUGAGACAGUAGCAUAAAUAUUGAAAUAGCACAAGUAUUGAAGGUUAACACUAGCGUAAUUCUAUUUUGAAUUUGUUGAGACAGUAGCAUAAAUAUUGAAAUAUUGACAGUAGCAUUAUUCUAUUGAGCUUGUGAUUUCGUUGUGGUUGUCUUGGUGUAACUUUGUUGUGGGUGAUUGGGUGAUCUAACCUUAGUUUUUUAUAUGUUUAGAACAUUUUACAAGUAAUGGACAACAUAGUGAAACUAGCCCUAGCCCUAGUCCUAGUCCUGCCCCUUCCACUAAUAAUGAUGUGAGUUCAAAUAAACCAGCACUACCCGAUAAGAAGAGAGCUAGAGUCACUAAGAAGACAACUUUCACUGUAUGGGAUCACUUCAAAAAGUUGGAAGAGAAUAGUUCUAGGUGCACAUGCAAUUAUUGUCAUAAAGAAUAUUGUUAUGAUACUACCUCAUGUGGAACUAGCACAUUAUGGAAGCACUUAAAAAAUCAAUGUAAGAAGUACCCAUAUAAGGAAGUAGAAACAUGACAAACUAUUUUGACUCUUCAACCUUCCACUGAUGGAAAAAGUGGUAGUAAUUUUGUGACUACUAUUUUUAGUCAACAAUUAUGUAGAGAAACAUGUGCUAAGAUGAUAAUUGUUGAUGAGUUGCCAUUCAAGUUUAUCGAGAAUUAUGGAUUUAUACAUUUUUGUAGAGUGACUUGUUCUAAGUUUGACCCUUCUUCAAGAGUAACAAUUCUCAAAGGGUAUGUUUGACAACUGACACAUGGACUUCUUUGCAAAAUGUUAACUACAUGGUACUCACUGCACACUUCAUUGAUUUAGAUUGGGUUUUGCAUAAAAUGAUUUUAAACUUUUCUCAAGUUACUAACCACAAGGAUGAUACUAUUGGAAAGCUUAUUGAGAGUUGUUUAUUGGAAUGGAGGAUUGAUAAAGUCUUUUCUAUAAAUGUUGAUAAUGCAAGUUCGAAUGAAGGAGCAAUUUCGUAUAUUAAGAAAAGACUUAGAAGUUGGAAAACCUUAAUCUUGGAAGAUGAACUGUUACACAUGAGGAGUUGUGCCCACAUAAUUAAUUUGAUUGUAAAUGAAGGAUUGAGAGAAAUGCAUGAUUCCAUUGCUCGUGUUUGUAAUCUUGUACGUUACGUUAGAUCAUCCCUUAAAAGAUUGACAAAGUUUAAAACUUGUGUGGAGCAAGAGAAAAUUGAUUGAAAAGCUCUUGUUUGUUUAGAUGUUCCAACAAGAUGGAAUUCUACUUAUCUUAUGCUUGAGCAUGCACUUAAAUUUGAAAAAGCUUUUCAAAUAUUAGAGGAAUAAGAGUUGGAUUAUCAAGACUAUUUUUCAGAAUAUGAACAUGGGAAGAAGAGGAAUGAGCCACCAACUAAUUCUGAUUGGAAAAAUGUUGAAGUGUUUGUCAUGUUUUUGAAGAUGUUCUACAAUGUCACUAUAAGAUUAAUGUCACUAAUAAGAUUAGUGGUUCUAUAUAUAUGACUGCCAAUUCUUUUUUUCAUGAGAUGUGGGGGAUUAAUGAUCUUUUAAUUGGUUAGAGCAGUGAAUAUAAUUAUAUUUUACAUAAUAUGACUAUAAAUAUGAAGUCAAAGUAUGACAAGUAUUGUGGUUCAAUUGAGAAAAUUAACAAGCUUGUAUUUCUAGUUGUGGUGCUUGAUCCUCGAUAUAAAUUGGACUACGUUAACUUUUGAUUUGAAAGUAUACAUGAUGAUGUUAUGGUUAAAGCUCUUGUAAGAUUGAAGCUUAUUUGAUGCGAUUGUACAAUUUUUACAAAUCACAAGUUGAUGACUCUGUCUUUCGCAAUGAUUUGCGUGGUCAAGAUGUUGUUUGUGAACAAGUAGAAUCAAGUGAUAAUUUGAGACUAUUGAGUUCGAGAGCUACAGUGGAAACUGACGCGUGUUGUAGAGUAUUAUCACGCUACAAGAGAAAAAGACAAGUACAAAAUACUUUAGAAUUGAGGAAUGAUGUUGAUCGGUAUUUAUCUGACCCUUGUGAGGAGUUAAAUGAUCAGUUUGAUGUUCUAACUUGGUGGAAAUUGAAUGGGGCUAAAUACCGAAUUCUAUCAAAAAUUGCUCUAGAUAGUUUUGUCGUUCUGGUGUCUACUGCGGCUUCUAAAUCUGCAUUCAGUACUGGAGGAAGGAUUUUGGAUUCUUUUAGGAGUUCUUUAUCACCUAAAACAGUGGAAGCUUUGAUUUGUACACAAAACUGGAUUUGUGGCAAAACAACCUUAUUGGAUCUUUGUCCAUAGCCCGAAGGAAUGAAAAUUUGUGAAAAAAUUGAGAACGAUAGUAUCAAGUCUUCCAUCACGUCACAAACAUGAUAUAUGGGUUGGGAAUUUUCAUGGGACUUUUUAUUCGUGAUAUCUAAAUGGAAUUGAAAUCCAAUUCACUAGAAAUGAACGAAAUGAUGAUAACAUUCCUGAUGAUGAGGUAGUUGGUGAAUUUGAAGUGUUCGGGCAGAGAGUACGACCACUAGGGGCGCUAACUUUACAAACUCUAUCAUCAAAAGAAAAAUAGGUUGCACAUUGGUACAUCCUCAAUAGUUGUAAAGAAAUAAUGAGCUACUGCAAGUAUAAAUUUCAAACUUCAUAUUUCUCUCACUAUUUAGUGGCAAUGGAAGUAGACAAUAAUUUCUACGGUGUUUUAGAUGAAGUGUUGGACUUUCAAUAUCUGCUGAGAUGACGUGUUUGGUUAUUCAGGUUUGACACAAGUAACAACAAAAGUCAUAGGACACGCUUGGAGUUACAAUACAAAUCAAUCAACACAUCGCAUUUUUUGUUUGUGGAGGAACCAACCAUUCUUGCGAUUCAGACACAACAAGAUUUUUACCUUGAGUACCCAAAAAAUGGUAUCAGUUGGAAAGUUCUUCAUGUGGUCCAAAAUAAACAUAUAUAAAUGGAAGAUGUUGAGAAUGAACAGUUGGAUGUACUGAAAAUUGUUGUUGGACAUUAUAUGAAUGAACACAGUGAGGAGCACACUAUGUGACGCUAAACCUACAGUGGUGGAAAGAUCAAUUGUUUGAUAUCUUGUUGACGACUUCAUAAAUGAUGAUGAUGAAAAAUUAUCUCCUCAAAACUAUGAGAUACUAGAGAGAUAUUCAUUAAAUAUGAUUUAAAUAAAAUAUUAACCGAUUAAUUA